rnacentral:tRNA from 1 species
GCGGACGUGGCGAAAUUGGCAGACGCGCGAGACUUAGGAUCUCGUGCCGCAAGGCGUGGGGGUUCGAGUCCCCCCGUCCGCACCA